AGGGCGGCGAGUAGCCGCCGGGGCCACCGGCCCGCUCCACCCGGGCCGGAUGCCCGGCCCGUUCUACCCGCCGGCCCGUCCGG
rnacentral:tRNA from 1 species